rnacentral:rRNA from 1 species
GACGAACCGUGCGAACGUUGUUCGGAAUCACUGGGCUUAAAGGGCGCGUAGGCGGGCCCGCCAGUCCGCGGUGAAAGCCCCCAGCUUAACUGGGGAAGUGCCGUGGAUACUGCGGGCCUGGAGGAGGGUAGGGGCAUCUGGAACGCUGGGUGGAGCGGUGAAAUGCGUUGAUAUCCAGCGGAACUCCGGUGGCGAAGGCGAGGUGCUGGACCCUUUCUGACGCUGAGGCGCGAAAGCCAGGGGAGCAAACGGG